rnacentral:tRNA from 1 species
AAAUGUUAAGUAGAGUUUCUAUAUUUGAUUACGGCUCAAAAGGAUUUACAUUUU